rnacentral:rRNA from 1 species
AGGACGAACGCUGGCGGCGUGCCUAAUGCAUGCAAGUCGAGCGACGAAUAGGUGCGGGUAACCAAGCCUAUUACGGAGCGGCGAACGGGUGAGUAACACGCGAGCAACCUGCCCCCGCAGACCGGGAUAGCCCAGGGAAACUUGGAUUAAUACCGGAUAUUCUCUUCAAACCACAUGGUCCGAAGAGGAAAGCCUUUGUGCUGCGGGAUGGGCU